GGACGGACGAUUACAUACGCUGAACUGAAGAGUACGAUUUGGCGCGGAAAUACGUGCUUCCCAAAUAUCUUCAUGUUCGUCGUUCUCUCCCGUAGACGGCCGGUCUCCGGAAACAGAGAAAUCCAAUAGGCAAAACAAGCUUGCUUGUAACUGUGUAGAAGACCACUAACGUGGCUAGUACAGCUUGUUUUAUGAUUGUCAGCCGGAGUGACAUUCCUAUAUAUGAAUGAAGCUGAAGUUGAUGCUGCAGUCAAAGUAUGAUUUAUUCUUUGCUUCCACUUUCUAUGCGUGAAUAUGAGCAUUUAAUCCUUUUUUCAAGUUAAUUUUCCAUUUAUUAGAAAGUAAAGUUCAAAAGGAGUUAUUCUGUGUCUCACUCAACUUAUAUGACACAUUGAUUGCAUCAAGAAGUGUAUGAAAUGAUCUACUUGUGAAUGGCUUAGCUAAUGA